rnacentral:sRNA from 2 species
GCGUGGCCUCCGCCGAGUCCGGGGCGCCGCCGCGCCGUCCGGAGCCGGGGACCCAACCGACCUUGGGGUGAAUCGGCCCGACCCCUCACGGGAGCGGACCGUAGGGCAAACCUUCCACAGCACCCGCCCGAACCCGACAGCUAACUCGGUAGGCGGAACAUGGAAGGAGU